GACGAACGCUGGCGGCGUGCCUAAUACAUGCAAGUCGAACGCAGUGGGGACGGGUGAGUAACACGUGGGUAACCUCCCAUCAGAGGGGAUAACACUUGGAAACAGGUGCUAAACCGCUACUGAUGGAAGGACCCGCGGUGCAUUAGCUAGUUGGUGAGGUAACGGCUCACCAAGGCCACGAUGCAUAGCCGACCUGAGAAGGUGAGCCGCCAGACUUGGACGGGGACCCGGCCCAGACUCCUGCGGGGAGCAGCAGUAAGGAAUCAUCGGCAAUGGACGAAAGUCUUACCGAGCAACGCCGCGUGGUUGAAGAAGGUUUUCGGGUCGUAAAACUCUGUUAUUAGGGUAGCGGUUACUAACCAGAAAGGGACGGCUAACUACGUGCCAGCAGCCGCGGUAAUUC
rnacentral:rRNA from 1 species